rnacentral:rRNA from 1 species
GUCGUAUAGGGGCGAUUGAUUAGCGGCGCGAUUCGCCUUGUGCCAGCAGCCGCGGUAAUUCCAGUAGCCAGAGUAGCGUAUAUUAAAGUUGUUGUGGUUAAAAAGCACUAAGGUGAACCUUGGGCCUGGCUGGCCGGUCCGCCUCACCGCGUGCACUGGUCCGGCCGGGCCUUUCCCUCUGUGGAACCCCAUACCCUUCACUGGGCGUGGCGGGGAAACAGGACAUUUACUUUGAAAAAAUUAGAGUGCUCCAGGCAGGCCUAUGCUCGAAUACAUUAGCAUGGAAUAAUAAAAUAGGACGCGCGGUUCUAUUUUGUUGGUUUAUAGGACCGCCGUGAUGAUUAAUAGGGACAGUCGGGGGCAUCAGUAUUCAACUGUCAGAGGUGAAAUUCUUGGAUCAGUUGAAGACUAACUACUGCGAAAGCAUUUGCCAAGGAUGUUUUCAUUAAUCAGGAACGAAAGUUAGGGGAUCGAAGACGAUCAGAUACCGUCGUAGUCUUAACCAUAAACUAUGCCGACUAGGGAUCGGACGGUGUUAUUCAUGACCCGUUCGGCACCUUACGAGAAAUCAAAGUGCUUGGGCUCCAGGGGGAGUAUGGUCGCAAGGCUGAAACUUAAAGAAAUUGACGGAAGGGCACCACCAGGGGUGGAGCCUGCGGCUUAAUUUGACUCAACACGGGGAAACUCACCAGGUCCAGACACAAUAAGGAUUGACAGAUUGAGAGCUCUUUCUUGAUUUUGUUGGUGGUGGUGCAUGGCCGUUCUUAGUUGGUGGGGUGACUUGUCUGCUUAAUUGCGAUAACGACGAGACCUUAACCUGCUAAAUAGCCCGCAUUGCUCCGGCAGUGCGCUGGCUUCUUAGAGGGACUUUCCG